UUGGUUCCGGCAUCGAUGAAGAACGCAGCGAAAUGCGAUACGUAAUGUGAAUUGCAAAUUCAGUGAAUCAUCGAGUCUUUGAACGCACAUUGCGCCCCCUGGUAUUCCGGGGGGCAUGCCUGUCCGAGCGUCAUUGCUGCCCUCAAGCACGGCUUGUG
rnacentral:rRNA from 1 species